GACGAACGCUGGCGGCGUGCUUAACACAUGCAAGUCGAACGAUGAAGCCGGAGCUUGCUCUGGUGAAUUAGUGGCGAACGGGUGAGUAACACGUGAGUAACCUGCCCUUGACUCUGGGAUAACUGCGGGAAACUGUAGCUAAUACCGGAUACGACCCUCGGAGGCAUCUCCUGGGGGUGGAAAGAAUUUCGGUCAAGGAUGGACUCGCGGCCUAUCAGCUAGUUGGUGAGGUAAAGGCGCACCAAGGCGACGACGGGUAGCCGGCCUGAGAGGGUGACCGGCCACACUGGGACUGAGACACGGCCCAGACUCCUACGGGAGGCAGCAAUGGGGAAUAUUGCACAAUGGGCGGAAGCCUGAUGCAGCAACGCCGCGUGAGGGAUGACGGCCUUCGGGUUGUAAACCUCUUUUAGCAGGGAAGAAGCGAGAGUGACGGUACCUGCAGAAAAAGCACCGGCUAACUACGUGCCAGCAGCCGCGGUAA
rnacentral:rRNA from 1 species